rnacentral:rRNA from 1 species
UACGGGGGGAGCAAGCGUUGUUCGGAUUUACUGGGCGUAAAGGGCGCGUAGGCGGUCAGCACAAGUCAGUUGUGAAAUCUCCGGGCUUAACUCGGAAAGGUCAACUGAUACUGUGCGACUAGAGUGCAGAAGGGGCAACUGGAAUUCUCGGUGUAGCGGUGAAAUGCGUAGAUAUCGAGAGGAACACCUGCGGCGAAGGCGGGUUGCUGGGCUGACACUGACGCUGAUGCGUGAAAGCCAGGGGAGCGAACGGG